CUUUUGACAAGGUUGCAAUGGUAGCUUUAAAUUCUUGCCUGGUUAUAUUAGUAUUUUAAAGUGUGGGGCUGUGUUUUUCAGAGAGGAAGGCAAGGAAACGGCAUCGUCAGAAUGACCUGGGAGGGAUUAGGAGGCGAUUAUUGAUGAAGGCAUCCACGACACCAGGACAGGUCUGUGGAGAAUUUCCCAAGGUGCUCCAAGGCUACCUUCUCUGUCCGAAGAAGUGGAUGCAGCUGAACAACUGCUCCUCUACUUCUGCUGCCUCAGACACCCAACUGAGAUGUCCUGAAGGACCCGAUUUACCAGCUGAAAAUCCCGUACCUGAAAAUCAGAGGUUUUAAAGCACAUCAAAGAUGCGAGCCCCAAGAUCUGGAUCAUAAAACAUUCUGGGCAACAAGAGGAACUCAAGCAAUGAUGUCAGCAGAGAGAGAAAUGAACCAAUGGCGAUACAAGUUUGAGAGAUGAAGCUGAGACUUUCAGUUUGUAGAGAAGAACACACUGAUUUUCUCAGAGUCUUCCCUGCAGUAGCUCUGGCUGGCAAGGUAACAUCUGCAGCCCCAGACAGGACAAUCAGUAACUGGCCACGUCCCUAUUCUUUUUCAUUUCACAUCUAGGUUUUUUUGGUUUCUUUGCUUCUUGGCAGAAAUACCUGCUAGAUAUCAGCAGUUUUUUCCAGCUAUAAAAUCCCAACAUUUCAGAAGGCAUUUUUGUUCUAAAUCAAGUUUAAACAUAAAAUGCUCUUCCUUCUCUCUCCUCAGAAAUGCAUAAUGAGAAUAACCAAAUUGGAUGGUCUCGACUACAUCAAAUCAUUUGUUUCAACAGCGCCUUAAUGCUCCAUUUCCAUAAGGUACACACACUUUUCUUCUAGAAUAAUAACGCAUUAUACCAGCAAAUAUUAAAAACAUCGCUGAAACGUAUUAUUAAAAUUAAUAUUUGAUAUUAUC
rnacentral:lncRNA from 1 species